AGCGUAAUCACUUGUUCUUUAAAUGAGGACUAGUAUGAAUGGCCCCACGAGGGCUGCACUGUCUCCUUUUUCUAAUCAAUGAAACUAAUCUCCCCGUGAAGAAGCGGGGAUAAUUCUAUAAGACGAGAAGACCCUAUGGAGCUUUAAACAACUGAAACACUUGCUUUUCCAUUAACCUCUUCCGAGUUCUUUACUUCACUCAAGCAUUUUUAUUUCUAGUUUUAGGUUGGGGUGACCACGGAGCAAAACUAAACCUCCACGAAGAAAUGAAUACUUUUUAAGCCACAAACUACUUUUUUAAGCAUCAACAAAUUGACCUUCAUUGACCCAAUAUAUUGAUCAACGAACCAAGUUACCCUAGGGAUAACAGCGCAAUCUACUUCAAGAGCUCGUAUCGAAAGUAGGUUUACGACCUCGAUGUUGGAUCAGGGUAUCCUAGUGGUG
rnacentral:rRNA from 1 species